rnacentral:rRNA from 1 species
AUUGAACGCUGGCGGCAGGCUUAACACAUGCAAGUCGAGCGGAGAUGAGGUGCUUGCACCUUAUCUUAGCGGCGGACGGGUGAGUAAUGCUUAGGAAUCUGCCUAUUAGUGGGGGACAACAUUCCGAAAGGAAUGCUAAUACCGCAUACGCCCUACGGGGGAAAGCAGGGGAUCUUCGGACCUUGCGCUAAUAGAUGAGCCUAAGUCGGAUUAGCUCGUUGGUGGGGUAAAGGCCUACCAAGGCGACGAUCUGUAGCGGGUCGGAGAGGAUGAUCCGCCACACUGGGACUGAGACACGGCCCAGACGCGUACGGGAGGCAGCGGUGGGGAAUAUUGGACAAUGGGCGGAAGCCUGAUCCAGCCAUGCCGCGUGUGUGAAGAAGGCCUUUUGGUUGUAAAGCACUUUAAGCGAGGAGGAGGCUACCUGGAUUAAUACUCUAGGAUAGUGGACGUUACUCGCAGAAUAAGCACCGGCUAACUCUGUGCCAGCCGCCGCAGUAAGAC